rnacentral:sRNA from 2 species
CAUUUAGAAUCGCUGAAUUUCCUUGUUAUGUAAGGGAAAUGGGGGAACCAAUAAAUUGAUGAUGCAUAAGCGGUGUGAGAGCCGUCUCAUGUAUCAUCUGGGGUGAAUCCUAUUACGAAUAUCAUGAAAUUCGUAAUAGGUAGGGCGACUCUCACCGCCCGAAUCCGACAGCUAACCUCGUAAGCGUUGGAAUGCAGUUGC